GUGGGCGCUGCCCGCAUCCUCCGGCUCGGUGCUGGGAAACGGUGUGAGGGGCGCUGCGGGACCCUCCCUCGCCUGGAGAGGCACCGGCGAUCCAGCCCCACUGCUGCGGCAUCCCCCUGUCACGGCAAUGCCACUUGUCUUCCGAAACGUCCCUACAGAGGCGGGAUCACUCGGGAUCAGUAAUUGGCAAUUACUGACAGAUCACAGAAUCAAUUAGAUUGGAAAAGACCUCUGAAAUCAUGGAGUCCAACCUAUGACCGAACACCACCAAGGCACUAAGUGCACGCCCAGUUUUUCCUUAAACACCUCCAGAGACGGCAACUCCACCACCUCCCUGGGUAACCCAUUCCAUUCUUACGUGAAGAAAUUCCUCCUUAUGUCCAACCUAAACCUCCCCGGCACAACUGAAGACUAUUAAUGUUUAAAGGACAAUCACCCAUCCAAAUAAGGGCUUGUGUGUUCCUCCCUGGCUGAAUUCCUGCUUUUGCACAGCUGGAUAAGCCACCAUUAGUGUAUAUUCAGCACACAGGACCUGAGCAUCCAGUCAAGAGUGCAGUGGGAAACCAGUUUGUCUCAGUUCCACGUCAAACCUUUGCUAAGCAGCUUGAAACACUUCUGUCCCUCCAUGUGGUGUUAUAGGGCUGCAAGGACAACAGCCUGGCCAUGAGAUUCCUUCUGGAAAGAAACUAACCGGUUUACAGUAGCAAGGCUUGGUAUUUGAUUUCAGCUGGGGGAAGGAGUACUGGACGGGGCGAAGACAUGAAGACCUUCUCUAAAAGUAGGUUUAAACUGUUUUUGAAGUAAAAUUUAAUGCUAGGAAGCUUAAUAGUUUACUUUAUAUUCCUUGAUUUUCAUGUGGUAACUGUCUCUUCCAGACCAUCUGUCCUUCCAGGUCACACUGCUAUGAACUACAUGUAUUUCAACUAAAGUCUUCCUUGCUCAUAGUCUUAGGUCAUAUUUGGGAGAUGUGUUCCUUUUUGUAAUGUCAUAUACACACCUGUGUCUAGUUGCUUGUUGGAGGAGGAAUUACAAUGCAAAUCUGUUUCCGAACUGUGUGUCCUUUAGAGAAACUGCUCUGAGCACCACUCGCCCACUUUUCAAUCCCAAUUGAUAAGUCAAUUUGUUGAGCAGGAUUCUAAGGUAGGAGAAGGAAUGCUUGGGGUGAAACACAUCAAGCUGCAGGGGACCAUUAAACAAGCAAGCUACUGGAGGGUCAUGCUUCGUGCAUGAGACCAGUCAUGUCUCCCAUCACUUUCAUCAGUCAUCUCUGUUAUCAACAAAGCAUUGGGAAAAUUCCACAAAACAGGUGGACAGUAUAUUUAAAACCCUGUGUUUAAAGAAGUACUUAAGAUUUUAAGGUAGUUUUUUUUAAAUUUUUUUUGUGUAUCUAUAGAAAGAAUUUUUUAAUAAUUAUCUGAAGGGGAUUACAGAACACUGUUAUUUAUCAUAAAAAUGUUGCAGCUUUAACUUCCCCUUAACACCAGCUUUGGCAUAUAUGAGACUGGUAUGCUGAACUAUCAGUAAAGAGUAAGACCUACCUUUAUAUGAUCAUGCAAAAAUUAAUCCAGGUGACUGAAUACCAGAGGAGGCUAUAAGCUCAUAAUUUACAACAGAACUUACACAAAAUUGCUUCUGAAAAGCAACAGGAAGAUGAUGUACCUGGUCUUCAUCCUUAACAGGAAGGAGGUAAUCUGAUAACUUUCUACUACAGUAGUUUUUGAAGUGCACUAUAGCUCAUCACUCUCAAUUCUUCAUGUGAUGGAGUUUCACAACUGAAUAUAAUGUAGGACAGAUUUAAAAAACUGCUGAAACUGAUGUUAAGUCUGCUUUUUAUAAUGUUUCACACUUCCUGUUAGGUGAAUGUGUGUUUAAAUAGACAUUUCAGGGCUUUAGUGAAGAGUAUUGUUAACUGUGUGCAAGACCAAUAAAGAUUUGGUAUGAGGUUCAGCUUAAGUCUGUGUGAUCCAUCCCAUGAGGGCAGUAGGGGUAGAGCUGUAAUACCUUGUGCUGUUUGGUUUUAUGGAAGACCCAGUCAUAGGUUGUAUCACAGCUAUCACUAUCUCACCAUGAACAGCAAAUUGCUAGAACAUGGAAUUGUCUGCCAGAGUUCAAGAAGUGUUUGGACAAUGCUCUUAAGUACAUGGUGUGAUUCUUGGGGCUGUCCUCUGCAGGGCCAGAAGUUGGAUUUUGAUGAUCCUUGUGGAUCCUUUCCAACUCAGGAUAUUCUAUGAUUCUAUGAUCUCUAGUGUUACUGAAUAGUUGCAUUUCAACAGUCAGGCUGUAGCUUAGUGAAACUGGAUCUUCUCCUCUUUGGUGAAAUAACAAUGCUUUACUCUGACUUUUUAAUUGGAUAUAGUACAUCUUCCUUCAGUAAUAUAGUUGCAAAAGGUGAAUAGAGUUGCCCUGGCUGCAAGUUUUCUUACCUGUUUGCAAAUUAAGCUGAGAAACCAUUCUUUUAAUCCUCCAUGGGAAGUGAGCUUGACCUUCACAAAUGCUAGUGAGUGUUUCAGCUUGUGGAGCUUAUCACAACCAUUUAUGUUCCGAUUCCACUUCCUUCAUUUUUCCCACCAUUAAACUUCCUUAGACAGUUUUACCAUAUGCUGCUUUAUUUUUUCUGAAAAAAAAAAAAAAGAAGGUGCUUUCUGCUUUUAUUGUACCCCUUCCAAGUAAAAACACAUGAUGCCAUCCAGAGGGACCUCAACAAGCCAGAGAAAUGGGAUAACAGGAACCUCCUGAAAUUCAGCUAGUGUGAAGGGGGGGAACAACCCCAGGCACCAGUACAGGCUGGGGGCUGCCCAGCUAGAAAACAGCUUUGCAGAAUAAGCCCUGGGAGUCCUGGUGGGUACCAAGUUGAACAUGAGCCACCAAUGUGCCCUUGCCAUGAAAAGGUUAAUGGGUGUCCUGGGCUGCAUUAGGAGGAGUGUUACCAGCAGGUUUGGGGGGGUGAUCCUUCCCCUCUACCGAGCACCUGGUGUGCUGGGUCCAGUGCUGGACUCCCCAGUAUGAGCAAAGUAUGGACACACUGGAGAGAGUCCAGCAAAGGGCCACAAAGAUGAUCAAGGGACAGGAGCAUUUCUCCUAUGAAGAAAAGCUGAGUAGCUGGACUGAUUAGCCUGAAGAAGAGAAGUUUCAGGGGGAUUUUAGCAAUGUGGGUAAGUACCUGAUGGAGGAAGUAAAGAAGAUGGAGACAGGCUCCGCUUAGUAGUGCCCAGGACCAGAAGCAACAGGGACAAACCGAAACACAUGAGGUUACUUCUGAACACCAGGAAACACUUUUUUACUGUGAAGGCAACCAAGCCAUUGGCACAGUCUGCCCAGGGAGGUGGUGGAGUCUCCAUCCUUUGAGAUCUUCAGAAGUCAUUCAGGCAUGGUCCUGGCAAACUACCUCUAGGUGGCCCUGCUUGAGCAGCAGGGUUGGACCAGCUGACCUGCCGAAGUACCUUCAAACAUCAGCCAUCCUAUGAUUCUGUACCCAUUAUAACCUCUAUCCAUGACUGACCCCUUCCUAUCUUCUAGCACUGUUCCAUAUUCACUAGGCUUUUUCCAUGUCAUUAUAAGCUAUACUUUCUCUGCUGGAACUGCAGCACAUCAUGCCGGGGCGUGCAGGAAAAAAACAUCCAGUCAUUCACCUGGGAACAAAAGAGCUCCAGAGAGAUCCUUAACUCCUGUAAAUUCCAUAGCUCUGUGAUCCUCACCGUUCACGUUAGCUGACACACUGAUGUCAAGUCCUUGGCCACUGUUACAGUAGACUGCCCAGUCAGAAAUGAAAAGCAUGUGUUUGUUCCUGGACCUGUCUGCAUUGAAGAAUCUAAUAUGAAUCAAUAAAAGAGCUAGGAUUUCAUAUUAUGGUACUAGUGAGCACUCCUUGUCCUAUUUGAAACAAAUAAGCAGCAGUGGUGCUAGUACCCAAACACACCUCAGUCACCUGGUCCUGAUUUUCUACUGCCUUCUACCUUCUGCAGUCAUCUGCAACCAUGCAAAGGGGAAUGAAAUAAUACCCAGUUCUGUUUACUUCAACAGCCCUCAGAGGUUUCCAAGGGGUGCUUUUUGGAAAACAUCUCUUUCUACCUCUCCAGAAAAGCCUACAUAGUUCUCAAUUCUUUCCAGGCAUUAUGCUUAAGGGAAGCUGUUUCUAGCUCCUGGAUGUACAAGUAAUCAGCAAAUCUGAAAUAAUUUCAGGUGUUACACUGGAAUGAGCAAUGCUUUGUCUAUUAGACCAGAGAGCUUUCCCAUUCUGAGCUGUGACAACAUUAGUGUUGUUAAGGGCAUUUCUUUCUAUUCAGCUGAGUAAAGGAAUUACAGCGUGUAGCUGGGGCUCCAGUGGCGGCAGUUGGGACUGAAUCCGGUUUCCAGGCAGAGAAGAAACAGUGUAAGGAUGCCAUUCAAGAAAAAAUUAGGUACAAGAGAGUUAAUUUAGCUUAUCCUUGAGUUGCAGAUUUCUAUUGAACAUAGAGUAAAUUAUGUAAUUGAUAUAUAAUAGGCUAAAUUGCAGGAAACCUGGUAAUUUAAUAUGAUUACAAACUGGAUUAAAACAGGCUGAAAUAAUUAGAAGCAACCUUCAUUUUUCAUUUGAGAUAAUUGCAAGAAAACUGCAAGUUCCUUUAUCUGUGCUGGUAGCAGAGAUUAAGACAACUUUCUACCCAAAACACUGGUAAUAUCUUUGUCUAAAAGAAAGAAAAAUGACAGCUGCUCAAAAGUUUCUCAGUAAUUACCAUGGGCAUUCUAAGAACUGUUUUGAUCCAGUGACCUUUAGAAGGAUGAGAGAGAGUCCAGGUGGUGAAAAAGGUAGGCAGACCUCAAAGCAGUCUAAGCAGACUUAACCAUACAACCCUGAGAAACUAUAUUUGUGGGGUGCUUGGUGAGAAGGAGUUUGGUGAUGAAAACUGUAUCAAUUUGUUUGAUUCUCUGUAUGUUCAAGAAAGCAGAACUCUGUACUUUCUUUUUUGUACAAAGAACUGUGCUGGAGACUAAGAUCCUUCAUGAGUUUUCCUUUUAAAAUCAAAUAAUCUGUUUCAAAUCCCACACUUACAUAUUGCACAAACCUUUUGCCUCAGUGGGGAUGAAAUUGUGCCUGCAUGCAGUUUAGUCCCACAGCUUGUGAACAUCACUAUAGAAAAAACACUGUUUCCAUUAGAUCAUGACCGCAGUUUUACAGGAAAAUUAGCAUUUGCUUUAUGCCUUGCAAUACAGCUGGCUUACACAUUUUGCUGAAUUUAGCAAAUACACCCCUCUGGAGAAGCUAAGCUAGCAUAAACUCUAUAAAUUAUGAAGGUUUCACUAGCUCUUUUAUCUAGGUGAUCAGAGAACUAGGAAUCUUCAUCUAUGUCAUGAUUUAACUCUACCCAGCAGCUAAGCUCCACUUAGCAGCUCACUCACUUUCCCGUGGUGGAAUGGGGGAGAGAAUUGGAAGAGAAUAAAGUGAGAAAACUCGUGGGUUGAGAUGAAGACAGUUUAAUAAGUAAAGCAAAGUCCACACAUGCAAGCAAAGCAAAACAAGGAAUUCAUUCACUGCUUCCUAUCAUCAGGCAGGUGUUCAGCCACCUUCAGGAAAACUGGAGUCCACCACACAUAGCAGUGACUCAGGAUGACAAACACUGCCACUGCAAAGAAUCCCCUUUUCUUCUUCUUACCCCAGCUUUAUAUGCUGAGCAUGACUUCAUAUAGUAUGGGAUAUCCCAGUGGUCAGCUGGGGUGAGCUGUUCUGGCUCUGUUCCCUCCCAACUCCUUGUGCACUCUCAUACUCCUCGCUGGCAGUGUGGGGGGCAAGGCAGAAGAGGCCUUGGCUCUGUGUAAGCACUGCUCAGUGAUAAUGAAAACAUCCACGAGUAAUCAACACUGUUUUCAGCACAAAUCCAAAACACAGCCCCAAACUAGCUGCUCUGAAGCAAACUAACCAUGUCCCAGCUAAACCCAGCAAAAUCCAGCUGAUCUAUGACUGAGAUACCACAAGUAUGUACAUUUGGGGAGCAGCAGGGGAGGAUUGUUUAUGUGGUUACUUAUACAAUUUUCCAUGAGAGUUAUGAGACUAACCAGAAUUCGCCCACCAUGACUUUUCAGAGCAUUCCCAAAAAAGACACAAUCAAGGAGGAAGGAUUUGGGAAUGGAUAAUAAUGGUUUUUUAGCAGGUCAUUCCCAAGUGAUAAACCCCAGGUAGCUCUGUGGCUAGGGAAGAUGUAAUACCACCUCCAUGCUCAGAGGAUUUCCCAUUGCAUAAAACAAGUCUCACUGCUUAAAAAAAUACUGGGAGCCAAGGUGGCCUCAACAAGAAAUCAACUUAAUCUGAAGAAUGCAGUGGCCUUUUGCAAAGCAUGUAAGAAAGCCAGGUCCUGAAAAGUCCUGUAGAUCACACCAGUAAUGAAAAUUGAAAUGAAAAUGUGAAAUUAAGGUGAGAAACUGGCAAAAUGUCUGGUAAAAAGAGAACUUUUAAUAUCCUUAAAAUUACUAUUAGCAGGUGGUCCAGUCUGAGCAAAUUAUACAUCAAAAAUCACUGUUGUUAAUUUCCAGAAUUUUCGUGACAGAAAUCUGGCAGUGCUGUCUCAGUGAUGUUGGAAGCAGAGCAAGCAUUGACUCAGGGAGAACAACUCAGUGAAAGAACUACUGAAGUUUAUUUGUAGACCAGAAAAAAUAAAAAGCAAACAUAUGGUAUUGAAAACUUAUUUUAAAAACAGUAAAGGUGAAGGUUCUUUUGAUAGCUUGCUACAGCAUGUGUUCCUUGAGGUCUUUAUAGAUGACAUAUAGUGCCUAGGUAGCAAUUUUAAUGCAAAAUUACAAUUAUAUUAAAAUCUUGUGCAUAUUUGGACUGGUUCUGAGUCUAAUCAAAACGGUGAAUGAUUAAAUCAGAUUUUGCUCUGUGAAUAAUUGGUUCAUAGAGCUCUACUUACUCUACUUGCAUGUAAAAUGCCUUGAAACUGUCCAGAGUGUGCUGCAGAAGGCCAUUUCUGGAAAAUCUAACAAUUACUGUCAAAUGUACAUUCCCUAUUGGCUGCCAAACAUAGUCGUAACACUGGCAUGUCACUGGAAUCUCACUGAAAUGGAGAGGACCAACAGACACCUCUUCAUUAGCCCACCAGUAAAAGACAGAAACACUCAGUGUUUCAGCAUAAAGACAUAUUUCAGCAUGUGAAGAGCUGCUUCAGUUUCAAAACAGCAGCUGUGAAAAGCAAAAUAGGUAAAAACAUGAGAGAACUACCGAUAAAGUGGGGAGAAUAACAGCAACAGCAAAACAGCUUAACAGGAAGCAGCAGAAGAAGACUGAAGCAAGCUUCAUGAAUGCAAAAGAACUGAAGAGACAAGCAGUUCCCAAAAAAUAUCCUGAGUUCUGUACCGAGCAGCUAAGCCUGCCACCAGCAGUGGCUGAAAGGUGCAUAGUCUGCUUGCCACUUUCUACUGGUCUGGCACAGGAGUGCUGCAGGUGCAGGGACAUACAGGUUGGUUUCUUGCAUGUCUUGCUUAGAAUCAUAGAAUCAUAGGAUCAACCAGGUUGGAAAAGACCUCCAAGAUCAUGAAGUCCAACCCUUAGCAUGUAGCAUGAAUGUAGCUACGCUGCUUUGGGGAUCCAAGUCCAGAGACAAAAUAGACAUUUUACCAUGACUCUGAACCUGAGUGAGUAACCUGAACCUGUCUGGUUCAAAUAGGUUUCUAGAUCUAGCUCAUGCAGGUAUUGUCUAGACCUGCAGCUGCACUAAGGAGCCCAGAAGUACAACUCUAAAGUGCAUCUUCAUAGAGAUGACAUCCAUAAUUCCAUUCCACUUAUGGACUGCCUCCGUAUGGACUAAGGUAGUGAGCUCUGUGUGGCAGUUUAAUUGCUGGUAGGACUUCCUAGCUUGGACACAAGCUGUACUCACAGAGCUUGGUACUUGCCACUGCUCACUUUUCCAAAAUUAGAAGUAUGACACACCUCACCCUAACUACAGUAUUAUUUCUGCACUCCUAGCCAUGAAGAGGGUGACUAUAGCGAGGAGCUGGAUUUCUUUGGAUUAUCUUCAUUAUUAUGAAUGCCCAUAUCUGUUAAAGAUAUAUUACUCAGUGCAAAAGACAUUUCUUCUUCAAGUAAAGAACUCAAAAUAUAUUGCUAUAUGCAUUCCAAAACACCUGAAAGCACAGAGAGAGAAGUAUUACAGGAAGAAUAAGAAGAAAAUAGUUUCACUUAUCUAUCUAGACAACGAACAGUGUAUAUCUAAGCAACAAACCACCUUCAUAAAUUAAGAACAUCUCUCUCAGAAAUACAUGCUUUCAGUGCAGAUUUCAUAGCUUUUUGGUGAGGGGACAUGGAAAACCUCUAGGGUGUCUAUUAAAAAAGGUUGACUUAUUCCAAAGUAAAUGCUCCUAGAAAAUCCUCAGAGAAGACACUUCUCACAACGUCAAGAAUUCUAAGUAGGACAAGCCCACAUCAGCAUCAAGCACAGCAAGACAAUUGAAAGACAGAUUUAGGACACCAUCAACAUGACUUCCAUAACAAGUGAUAAUAUGGAUGCCAUCUGGAAAUCACAGAAAAGGAGUUGGAUAUGGAUGAGCUUCUGUCAAAGUUAAUCUGUACUUUUUUUCUGCUAUUUUUUGUGCGAAAUUUUUCUAGCUGUGAUUAUUUUUAUAUAAUAAAAAUUCACUUGCUCA